GAUGAACGCUGGCGGCGUGCCUAAUACAUGCAAGUCGAGCGAACGGACGAGAAGCUUGCUUCUCUGAUGUUAGCGGCGGACGGGUGAGUAACACGUGGAUAACCUACCUAUAAGACUGGGAUAACUUCGGGAAACCGGAGCUAAUACCGGAUAAUAUUUUGAACCGCAUGGUUCAAAAGUGAAAGAAGGUCUUGCUGUCACUUAUAGAUGGAUCCGCGCUGCAUUAGCUAGUUGGUAAGGUAACGGCUUACCAAGGCAACGAUGCAUAGCCGACCUGAGAGGGUGAUCGGCCACACUGGAACUGAGACACGGUCCAGACUCCUACGGGAGGCAGCAGUAGGGAAUCUUCCGCAAUGGGCGAAAGCCUGACGGAGCAACGCCGCGUGAGUGAUGAAGGUCUUCGGAUCUUAAAACUCUGUUAUUAGGGAAGAACAUAUGUGUAAGUAACUGUGCACAUCUUGACGGUACCUAAUCAGAAAGCCACGGCUAACUACGUG
rnacentral:rRNA from 1 species